rnacentral:rRNA from 1 species
AGUGAACGCUGGCGGUAGGCCUAACACAUGCAAGUCGAACGGCAGCACAGUAAGAGCUUGCUCUUACGGGUGGCGAGUGGCGGACGGGUGAGGAAUACAUCGGAAUCUACUUUUUCGUGGGGGAUAACGUAGGGAAACUUACGCUAAUACCGCAUACGACCUACGGGUGAAAGCAGGGGAUCUUCGGACCUUGCGCGAUUGAAUGAGCCGAUGUCGGAUUAGCUAGUUGGCGGGGUAAAGGCCCACCAAGGCGACGAUCCGUAGCUGGUCUGAGAGGAUGAUCAGCCACACUGGAACUGAGACACGGUCCAGACUCCUAAGGGAGGCAGCAGUGGGGAAUAUUGGACAAUGGGCGCAAGCCUGAUCCAGCCAUACCGCGUGGGUGAAGAAGGCCUUCGGGUUGUAAAGCCCUUUUGUUGGGAAAGAAAAGCAGCAGGUUAAUACCCCGCUGUUCUGACGGUACCCAAAGAGUAAGCACCGGCUAACUUCGUG